rnacentral:rRNA from 1 species
GUGGGGAAUCUUGCGCAAUGGGCGAAAGCCUGACGCAGCCAUGCCGCGUGAAUGAUGAAGGUCUUAGGAUUGUAAAAUUCUUUCACCGGGGACGAUAAUGACGGUACCCGGAGAAGAAGCCCCGGCUAACUUCGUGCCAGCAGCCGCGGUAAUACGAAGGGGGCUAGCGUUGCUCGGAAUUACUGGGCGUAAAGGGCGCGUAGGCGGACAGUUUAGUCAGAGGUGAAAGCCCAGGGCUCAACCUUGGAAUUGCCUUUGAUACUGGCUGUCUUGAGUACGGGAGAGGUGAGUGGAACUCCGAGUGUAGAGGUGAAAUUCGUAGAUAUUCGGAAGAACACCAGUGGCGAAGGCGACUCACUGGCCCGUUACUGACGCUGAGGCACGAAAGCGUGGGGAGCAAACAGGAUUAGAAACCCGUGUAGUCC